GACAUUUGAGCUGUUUAUUAAUGGAUCAAGAAUCAAUUCAGACUUCCAUUUUCAUUAUUUUUAGCAUUUGUUUCUAACUCUGGACAAUCAGGAGUGCAAUAACGUUUUUCUUGGUAACUACAAAAUUCGAAAUCCCGAGAUCUAUUUUUCGUAAUACUUGUACAUGGUAUCGGCCAAUGGGAAACGAUGCAGAACCGUUUAAUUUUCCCUGUUUUAGAAAUUCUGUAUUGACAAAAUUAGCCAAAAUAUUUCGAGUUUAGAUCAAGCAAUAAGCGAUUUAUAUGAUUUUCAGCGUUAAAAUGGAGGGGUAUCCCCGAGUAUCAGAAAAACUGCCUCCGUGAAACAAAUAAAUUUAGCAUGAACAUGUUCUUCGAGUUUUCCUCUAAAAAACUGUCGCUUUGAAAUUUUGUUUCACGAGGGCAUUUUUUUUUUUGUUUUUUGUUUUUGUUGGUAAAUUGAAAAAAAUCGAAACGACUUCACUGGUAUUAUUUUCAACUUCACCUGUACGGUAAUUUUCCUUGGUAAUGUAUGGUCUACUGCGUGGUCCAGUGGGUAAGAUCGUCGAUAGAUGUUUAUUUUUCAGAAAAGAUUAAUUUAUUAGAAAAAAUCAUUGUACUUGGUGAUUUUAAUAAUAUGAUAGGUGAAAUAGAUCGGUGUAGUAAAACAAAACCUAUGUAUGAUCAGGGUUACAAAACUUUGGUUGAUAUGAUGAAUAAAUGCGGCAUUGUUGAUGUAUGGAGAAAAAAGAAACAGAAAUGAAAGAGUAUUAUCUAGGAAAGUUGUGGUUGAAAAUAAACUUAUACAAAGUAGAAUUGACUACAUAUUAGUAUCAAAUGUGGUAAGUGACUUUGUUAAAAAUAUAUAUUACACAAAUACCUCACUAAGUGAUCAUUCAAUGGUUAUACUUUACUUAGAUACGAAUGAGUCCGAAAGAGGGCCAGGAUUGUGGAUACAUAACAAUUUUCUCUUGUUUGAUGAAUUAUAUAAGAAAAAAGUAAUAGAUAUUUUAGAGAGAGAAAAGAAACGUAAAUUAUUUGAAGUCUCCCCUUUGGUGUGGUGGGACAAUUUGAAAUACUAAAUCAAAAACAUUUCACAAUGUUAUAGUAGAGAUCGUGCCAAAGAAAGGAAUAAAGAGUUUUAUAAAUUGCAAAAUGCAAUUCAAAGAAUGUCACAAAAUAUUGCUAACGGUGAUUGUGUUGAUAUUGAGAAAUAUGAAGCUUUGAAAAAUGAUCUUUCCGAGUAUGAAAAUGAAAAGUGUAGAGGAGCUGUAUUAAGAUCUAAAGCACAAUGGGUUACUGAAUCAGAUAAGUGUACAAAAUAUUUUCUUAAUUUAGAGAAAAGGAGACAAGAGUCUCAUGUCAUAAAAUAGCUCAUAGAUGAAAAAUAUGAUACAGUUAAAAACGAUAUUGAUUCUAUAUUAGAUAUACAACAUGAUUUUUAUUCUACAUUACAUUCAUCUGUUGAAAUUGAUAUUGAAUGUAAAAUUAUUUUCUGUCUUUUGUUGACAAUAAAGUGCACCGCCACGGCACAUGAUACGCCCGUCACAUAUUGUUAACAGUAUAGAUAGUACCCAUUAAAACAUUUUUUUAUAUCACCUUAAUUAAAUGUCACAGUGACCUUAAAGUAGGAUGCGACACACCUUCUACCUAAGAUGCAUUAGUUGACCAAUUUUGAUGAUUCUAGGUCUAAUAGUUUUCAAGUUAUGAGCCGGACAAGUUUUUGCCAUAUAUGACCAUAUCUUCUUAAUGAAAAGUCACAACGACCUGGUUUUAAUGUGCGACACACCUUCUACCCAAGAUGUAUCUACAGACAAAGUUUGAUGAUUCUAGGCCAUGUAGUAUUUAAGUUACGGGUCGGACACGAAAAAGCUAACAGACGGACGGACAUGAACGCCAUACCAUAAUACGUCCCGUCUUAAGACGGGCGUAUAAAAAGCUUGACGAAAAUGAUGUAGAAAUAUGUGACAUGGAAAUCACUUAUGAAGAAAUAGAAAAAGCAACAAAACAAUUGGCUAAUAAUAAAAGUCUGAUGAACUUACUGUAGAAUUUUAUUAGACAUUUUUACCUCAUUUAUGCCCAGUAUUGUACAGGUUAUUUCAUGAAAUUGAAAUAAGAGAGAAUUUAUCUCAUUCUAUGAAAAUGAAUGUUAUUACAUUAUUGUAUUUAAAAAAAAGGUGACAAAAGAUUGUUAAAAAAUUGGAGACCAAUAAGUCUAUUAAAUGUAGAUUACAAAAUUGUUGCAAGGAUUAUGUCAAAUAGGUUGAAAUUAGUUUUGCCUAAUAUUAUAUCUGAAAGUCAAACAUGUUGCAUUAUGGGUAAAGAUAUAGCAGAUACGUUAGUAAGUAUACGAGAUAUUAUUGACAUGGUUAAAAUGGACAAUAUGGAAGGUUAUAUUGUAAAAAUAUAUCAAGAAAAGGCUUUCGAUAGAGUUAGUCAUGAGUAUCUUUCAGACGUGUUAAAGGUAUUUGGUUUUGGACCUUAUUUUAGAAAAUGGAUUAGUAUUUUUUAUACAGAUAUUUAUAGUAGUGUAAAAUGUAAUGGAUUAUUGACAAAAUAGUUUUUGGUCAAGAAGUCUGUGAGGCAAGGAUGCCCGAUAUCUGCUUUGUUGUAUGUUUUAUCAUCUGAACCAUUAAGAGGAUGUCUCAGAGAAAAACAUGCAAAAUCACUAAAAUCGUCUAGUAGGAUACAUAGAACUUUCCAUUUUGUUAUUUGUUUUUAUGAUCUAGGGUGUAACAUGAUAUGAAAAAUGUACAUUGUACUUUGGAAUUUCCUCACGUGUUUCUAUUUUUAGAAACAACUGGUUUUGAUAUUUACCAGUAAUAGGCAUUCAUGCAUAGCAGUAAUUAUGGAAGUUUGAGGCCUUAUAAAAUAAUUACAAUACUUUAAAAAAAAAUAAUUUUGCUAUAUAAUAUAAAUAUACGUUAAAUUUAAAGAAUAUUAAUGUUUUGCUCUGAUUGCAUGUAUUUAUAAUUAAGGACAAAGCCAUAUGUAAGCUAAACUUUGGAAUUACAGAUAAAAUAUGCAAGUUUGGUGCAGCAGUACAGCUUAAAUGGAGAUUAAAAUUUCAUGUAAAGAUAUUAAUUAUAAAGAUCAAUUUAGGUUUUAACAAAUAUAUAAAAUCCACUGAUGGCUUUUCAUAUCUAAUAUAUUAAGCAAGUAGUUGAAAUAAUGACCAUAGCGAGUUUAACCAAUAUCUUGUUUACUUGAUAUUUUUAUCUAAACAUAAUUUAUAUGGUUUUAUUUUAUAGGUAAUAAAUAAAUUUUAUUGUAAAUGAAUAUUAUAAAGUCAAUGAAAAAUGAAAAUCAUAAAAAUGAACAGUACAUACCUUAAAUGAAAAAAAUAUUACAAGAUUAUUAUAAUGUUUGGAAGAGUUAUAUCCCGUAAUGCCGCUCUUUAUUCAAGUACGGGAAAAAAUGGCGAGCACACGCAACAUGCAUCAUAUAUUGCAUUAGAUGUGUGAUUUCAGCGGUUUUUCGAACACUGCGUUUAGUGAAUGCCAUAUAUUUCAAAUAUAUGAAUGUAGGACGGAUGUGUCUUGUCACUUGCGACUGUUACAAUGCUCUGAACAACUUCCUGGACAGUAUGGUAAAUAUUUGGACGUGCCGGGGCAAUCCUUCCGAUAUUUAAAAUUGUAAUAUUUCCGUGUACAAUGGCAUAUUAAGACUAAGAAUAUAUCAAAAGCAUCGAUCGAAUUUUGGGUUACAAUGGAGGAGAAAUAAAGCUAGAUGCUGUCAUCCAGACCACAACGCAGAAAGCUAAACCACAAUGAGGGGCAACCCCUACACUUGUCAACACUGGCCGGUUGAGAACGAGACGGACAAUUGUAAUUAUGGUUGGACCAGGUAAUACAGGAUUUUUCAAGAGAAAAGGAACACAGAAGAGGUACUGUUUUCCGUGUUUUGCUCAAUCAACACCAUGAAUUGACUGAUCAAGAGUCAGAAGAUACUUCCAGACAAUAAAAGUUCUGCAUGUCGUUCUACAGGAAGCACAGAUAAUAGUCCUCAACAACAAUAUUAUCCUUGUGAAAAGGCGAAGACAACGAACAGUGACCAAUCUCAAAACUCUCAUAAGACUCAUCAUGCAAAAAUGUUGAAAAACGUCUGGCAAUUUGAAACCAUUCUUACAAUUCAAGUUGAAGAUCAAGUAUAGACACAGCAGCUAAUUUGUAUGUCUCAAAAUAUGACAGUAUUUCUCAUGACCUGCUGAUAUAAACAGCCAUUUCAAGAAUUGGUGACAAUGGACUCCACCAAGAACUAGCAUAAAAAAGAACUGAAUGGACAUUGAAAUGCAGAAAAAAGGCCACAAGGUUCUCCUUUAAUUGGGUAUAUUGCCUCAUAUUUGUCAAAAACAUUUAAAAGUGUCAUUGAACCUCCUGAAACCAAAAGAAAAAGAAAAAAAAAGCAAUUGUUGUCUGAAAGAUGUUUGUUUCUGAUUAGACUCAAAUGAUUAUGUUGAGCAAAUGAGUAGUAUGGUCAGUGAUAUGUUUACUUCUGUAAUUGUUCAAUAAGUAUACAUACACGUUAACAUAUAAUUAUGAAAUGUAUUAGGAAAUAUAUUUCAAUCUACA